rnacentral:rRNA from 1 species
GAUGAACGCUGGCGGUGUGCCUAAUACAUGCAAGUCGAACGAGGUGCUUUUGUAGCAAUACGAGAGUAUCCUAGUGGCGAACGGGUGAGUAACGCGUUGGUGACCUGCCCCAAAGUGUGGAAUAACAGUCCGAAAGGAUUGCUAAUACCGCAUGUGGUCAUCGGAUUUAGAAACCGAUGUCUAAAGCAGCAAUGCGCUUUGGGAGGGACCUGCGUCCCAUCAGCUAGUUGGUAGGGUAAUGGCCUACCAAGGCUACGACGGGUAGGGGACCUGAGAGGGUGAACGGCCACACUGGAACUGAGACACGGUCCAGACUCCUACGGGAGGCUG